CUGCGUCUUUCCUGCUCAGCUGGACUGCAGAACCCUGGAGGGCAAAGACCUAGUUCUCUCGUUUUUGCCAACACCAGGCUUGUGGGACCCAGAGGCUGAUUGACUGAUUGAUGCCCCUUACAUUUCAAAGAACCUGUCCUUCCAGCUGUGAUCCAGGGUUCAAGCUGGUCAUCAGGAAGAAAGCUACCCUAGGAUUUCUUCAUGAGGAGCCGCCACGAAGUGCCAGAUUCCCAAAGAGGCCCUGCACCUUCCCUGUCGUUGCUCUGUGAGUGGCCUGGGCAUGGACGUGAGUGAGUGGGACAUCGCAGCUCCUAAGCCUCUGAGGGAGGACGGAGGCAGGGCCUUCCUCGCAGGUGGACCCCAGGCUGUGAGCAGGCCCUUUGCCCUGCGUUUGACUCAAGCCCAGGUCCCGUCAGGCGGGAUGGCCGCUCCGACCAGUAUCCAAAUGACGCUAAACAAAGCACAGGCCAAGCUCACCCGGAAAGGGGCUGCCAGCCUUCCAGGAGGCCAGCCCAGCACUUCUAGGAAGUCUGCUCGGCUCAGGCCCCAUUAGAUUCUCCGGCUUCACUAGCUGUUCCCGGUCCCCCCGGGCUCAGCUCUCAUGCUGCCUCUUCUGGGAACAGAGCUCAUCUCCCUCCGACGGGCGCCUGACCCUGUCCGCACAGCGCCCUAAGAAGGAGGAAUCGUGGAGCAAAUUUGCUGUCAAACAGAAUGCAGAUCCCGGGUGCCUGGACCAGAAUCCCCCUGGAACGGCCGCGGGGUCCGGCACGAAGCCACGGUGUCUGCAUCCCAGCUCUGUGCUGUACUGAGGGCAGCGCGUUAUACCCCAGCCUGUGUUUCUGAUGCUGUUACAGACACGAAGCUCCGAACACAGAGGCUGCCUCUCUGCUGUGUGGGGGAUACCUAAACCCCCAUGCUUUUCUUCGGGGAAGGAGGAAUUUUGUUCCAGUUCUGAACAUCUCAGGGAACAUCAUCUCCCAAGAAUGGCUCAGAAAAGUCACCCAGGCCAACCCUCGGGGGGAAGUGCUCUCAGGUCAGGCCUGGCUGCCUUCUGCUUCGGGCGAGGGUGCUGGCGCCUGCAGCGGUUUGGCCCCAAAUACCCCAAAGCCCCCCACCCCCCUUCUGGAGCAGAAAGUGGGCAAGCAGCAGGGGUCUUGGAGGGCUGCAGGAAUGGGACGAAUUUUGCCUGGAGUUGUACCAGCUCUCAAAUACCUGGAAACUACGGUGACUGUGUGAACCAGAAAUUUCAGUUGUGUGUGUUUUAAAGGCAAGAAUUUUAAAUUCUUAAAUUAAAAAAGCAAAGAGAGAGAAUAAUUGAAAUAUAGUUACUAAAAAGGAUCUCCGA